UACGUAGGGUGCGAGCGUUGUCCGGAAUUACUGGGCGUAAAGAGCUCGUAGGUGGUUUGUCGCGUUGUUCGUGAAAACUCACAACUCAAUUGUGGGCGUGCGGGCGAUACGGGCAGACUGGAGUACUGCAGGGGAGACUGGAAUUCCUGGUGUAGCGGUGGAAUGCGCAGAUAUCAGGAGGAACACCGGUGGCGAAGGCAGGUCUCUGGGCAUUAACUGACGCUGAGGAGCGAAAGCAUGGGGAGCGAACAGG
rnacentral:rRNA from 1 species